UACGUAGGUGGCAAGCGUUGUCCGGAAUUAUUGGGCGUAAAGCGCGCGCAGGCGGUUCUUUAAGUCUGAUGUGAAAGCCCACGGCUCAACCGUGGAGGGUCAUUGGAAACUGGAGAACUUGAGUACAGAAGAGGAAAGCGGAAUUCCACGUGUAGCGGUGAAAUGCGUAGAGAUGUGGAGGAACACCAGUGGCGAAGGCGGCUUUCUGGGACGGUACUGACGCUGGGACGCGAAAGCGUGGGGAGCGAACAGG
rnacentral:rRNA from 1 species